GUCUAUGGACAUGCCAUCUUGAACAUGUCCGAUCCUGUCUGAUCUUGGAAGGUAAGCAGGGUCGGGCCUGGCUAGUACUUGGUUGGGAGACCACCUAGGAAGACCAGGUGCUGUAGGCU
rnacentral:rRNA from 1 species